GUAGACGUCGUAGGAAACUCUCGCUCGCACCCGAGCAUUUUGUGGCAUGUUUUGACCUAUUUCGGGCCAUUUUCGUGUUGCUGGGGGGAUGAACUCUGAAUGACCUAUUAAAUAAAAGUGUAAUAUCUUUGACACCUAGCGAUACAAACGAUGAUUUUACCAGCACAAACCGACACAAACGGAGCACUAACCACCCAGUAUUUUUUCUGUUUUUCUUUUUCUCUCAGGUUGCUGGUUGUGGAAUUUGGAGCUGCAGAGAUUUGAGCUGUGCUCCAAAAGUGCAUGUUGAAGGUACCUAAUGCUUGCAUAUUAUUUACUUUUUCCUUAAUACGCAAUUUUACAUUUUGAAUUCUCUUAUUUGGUCUUUUAGGUUAUCACCACAGUUCCACUGCUGUCCACAUUCAUGAGCAGUCUUGACCAGUACUCUGACCAGUUGAUGAAGAUUCUACGAAAAAAAGGAGGGGAAACAGCGCGGCGGAUCACAGCAGCAUUGUCUACAAUUUCACAGAGUUCCAGAAUCGAAGUGAAGCGUGAAUAUAUACCUGAAUGAGAACCCUGAAAAUCUCAUCAAAGAGUACAUGGAUUUCAACGUGAUGGAAGCUGAAGAGCUUGAGAGGAUGGAUUUGGCGUGUUUAUAAAAUAAUCCAUGAAGGAGCACAGCCUGAUGACUCCCUUGAAGAUGUUGGCAUCAUUAUCGAGAGAUGCACCGUCUUGCAGGAUCUUCACGAUGUGGCGAGCGGGUGUGCACUUUUGUUUGGGCUAAUUUACUGCCUCAAUCUGAGUUACCCAAAGCCACUUCGCUACACAUUUGAGUUCUUCCAGAAGGUGCUCAUGGGACUGGAAGACAAAAAACUGUCUAACAAAAUACAAGUGCUGAAGAACAAACUCUGCCAAAAGGAGACGCAAUGACUCUUUCUUUUUUUUUUUGUAUUUACACUUCAUAUUAGUUCUGGUGUACCAGGUUUCCAUUGUAGGUCAAGGAUCUUGAGUGUUAUAAAUGUUAAAGUGUAUGUGCAAACAAAUGUGAAAAGGUUCUAAGGUUGUCACCUGUACUCAAGUUAAGUACUGGAUUUUUGGUCUUAGCAUUUAAUUAAGAAUAUUUUGAGAUUUUUGAUGCAUUUUUUUUAUUGUAAAAUGUAUUAUAUAAUAGAAAACUUAUAAUUCUGAAUCAGAUUUUUGUAACUGGGGACUAAAUCGUUUUUACCUUUUUGUGUCACUUAAGUAUUUUCUGUAAUUGCAUUAUACAGUGAUUUUUAAGUAGCUGUGGUAAAUCUGCAGAUCUGACUAUAAUCACAAGUUGUAUUGAAUUUGACAUCUUACGGCACACUACAAUGUCACUUUGUUGAAACUCGGAAAGUUGUUUCCAAUGUUUAAAUUUUGGUCAUGCACUUUAAGCAUUUAAUGUUGCCUUAUGCAGUGUUGUUCCCUGUUGAAGCUUUGCCUUGUCAAGGCUCACCGUAAAUAAAGUUGUUGAUGCAGCACCCUUUUUUUGCAUUUACACUUUAUGUAAGCUUUGGUGUAAGAGUUUUCUAUUGAAGUGCAAGGAUCUUGAAUGUUAUAAAUGGUAACGUGUGAGCAAGUGUAAAAAGGUUUUUGAGUUGUCACCUGUACUCUGU
ensembl:lncRNA